rnacentral:rRNA from 1 species
UACAGAGGGGGCAAGCGUUGUUCGGAAUUACUGGGCGUAAAGGGCGCGUAGGCGGCCUGUUAAGUCGAACGUGAAAUCCCCGGGCUCAACCCGGGAACUGCGUCCGAUACUGGCAGGCUUGAAUUCGGGAGAGGGAUGCGGAAUUCCAGGUGUAGCGGUGAAAUGCGUAGAUAUCGGAAGGAACAUCAGUGGCGAAAGCGGCUUCCUGGACCAGAACUGACGAUCAGGCACGAAAGCGUGGGGAGCAAACAGG